CCGUUGAGGGCGCCGCAGGAACGCACCCCGGCCGGCGGCUCACCUUCCACACCAGCCAGGCGGCUCGGCUGCCUGGGGCCCCGCACGGGUUCCCUGCGAUCCACACGUCCUGAGGGGCUGGAAGGGAGACUCCUGGAGUACCAGCUGGGAAUAUGGCUGUCAAGAAUAAAGACUACAUUUCCCAGGCUCCUUUGCAGUCCGAUGAGGCCAUGUGACUAUGUUCUCAGCCAACCACGUAUCACCAAAAAUAAAAUUGGCAACUUCCUGGUUGAGUAUUAAAGUGUA